rnacentral:rRNA from 1 species
GCUGGUAGUGCCCGAAGUCGCUAGCCUAACCCUCGGGAGGGCGGCGCCGAAGGCAAGAUCGGUAAUCGGGACUAAGUCGUAACAAGGUAGCCGUAGGUGAACCUGCAGAAGGAUCA